rnacentral:lncRNA from 1 species
CAUCGUCAUUUAUUUCAUCAAUUCUUAUCUCAGGUAGAUUAUCUUGGUCAUUUUCUCCUUUUUCUUCUAUUUCGUUUUCUAAUUGCAAUUUUUCUUUAAAUUUAAUUAUCUCAUUUGCUAAUUUUGUUUUUUGUUCUUUUUCUCUUUGUUUAAUUUCAUACAUUUCUUUUAAUAUUGCUAGUUCUUUUUCUAGUUCUAUUAUUUUAGUAUUUUUUACUUCUUCUAAUUGUUGUACUU